UCGGGAAUAUUGGUCAAUGGGCGAAAGCCUGAACCAGCCAUGCCGCGUGGAGGAUGAAGGCCUUCGGGUCGUAAACUCCUUUUCUGAGGGAAGAACAGCCUGGGGAGGAAAUGCCCUGGGUUUGACGGUACCUCAGGAAUAAGCAACGGCCAACUCCGUGCCAGCAGCCGCGGUAAUACGGAGGUUGCAAGCGUUGUUCGGAAUUACUGGGCGUAAAGGGAGCGCAGGCGGCCGAAUCAGUCUGAAGUGAAAUCCCGGAGCUUAACUCCGGACGUGCUUUGGAUACUGUUUGGCUUGAGUUCGCGAGAGGUAAGCGGAAUUCCAGGUGUAGCGGUGAAAUGCGUAGAUAUCUGGAGGAACAUCGGUGGCGAAAGCGGCUUACUGGCGCGAUACUGACGCUGAGGCUCGAAAGCGUGGGGAGCGAACG
rnacentral:rRNA from 1 species